rnacentral:rRNA from 1 species
GACGAACGCUGGCGGCGUGCUUAACACAUGCAAGUCGAACGAGAAUCUACUGAAAGAGUUUUCGGACAAUGGAAGUAGAGGAAAGUGGCGGACGGGUGAGUAACGCGUGAGGAACCUGCCUUGAAGAGGGGGACAACAGUUGGAAACGACUGCUAAUACCGCAUGAAGCAUAGGGGUCGCAUGAUUCUUAUGCCAAAGAUUUAUCGCUUCAAGAUGGCCUCGCGUCUGAUUAGCUGGUUGGCGGGGUAACGGCCCACCAAGGCGACGAUCAGUAGCCGGACUGAGAGGUUGAACGGCCACAUUGGGACUGAGAUACGGCCCAGACUCCUACGGGAGGCAGCAGUGGGGAAUAUUGAGCAAUGGGCGCAAGCCUGACCCAGCAACGCCGCGUGAAGGAAGAAGGCUUUCGGGUUGUAAACUUCUUUUAAGAGGGAAGAGCAGAAGACGGUACCUCUAGAAUAAGCCACGGCUAACUACGUG